CGGAUACAUUAAAAAAAAAAGUGGAGCUUCAGCCAUGGAAUAACAUGAAAAUGAAUAUGUUAUACCAUGGCUGAAGCUCCGCCUUUUUUCCUUUGGAUUCUAGUCGAGUUGCAUAUUUAAUUAGCAAAGUAUGGUACAACAUAAAUUUGCAUAUAAUAUACCAUGGUUUUCCCUCACCACACUUUUUAAGCAAAUUAUUUCAUAAAAACAUCAAAGGAAAAAAUCCAAUUUAUGUUACAAUAAAAAUUAGAUUUUAAAG
rnacentral:lncRNA from 1 species